rnacentral:lncRNA from 1 species
AACUUGGUAGUGGUGCGCUGGCCGCACGACAGCUCUGGAGCUAUGGGACACCCAGGGACAGACCGUGUCCACGGUGCACCAAGACUGUGUCUAGCUAUAUUUCUUUUUUCUUUUUCUUUCUUUGGGUGGAACUUUUUUUUAGAAUUUUUUUAGUGGAACUAUGUACUAUCAGUGGACCGGGUAUUGGGCCUUAGUUUAGGACUUGGGGACCACAUGAGCUUGUGUAUAUCGGUCCACUGGACCGGGAAUAAUGGAGGGACGGGCAGAAAGUUGAGCGGGAAUUCCCUAAUUGCCGUAUUCUGUGCAGUAACAGCCGCAUCGAGCAAUCCUUCUAACUGGGCCGGUCCAUUCAAACGGAACAUCUUCAGACGUUUUUGCUAGUUUUGGGAACUUCUAGAAAGUUUCAGCCGGUAUUUUUUGGUUUUGGGAAACUUCAACAAGGUUCCCUGAACCCAGUUUUUUUCGUUUUACUUAUUUUUC